ensembl:lncRNA
AAAUUUUAUUAGUCACAUGCGCCGAAUACAACAGGUAUUACAGUGAAAUGCUGACUUACGAGCCCCUAACCGACAAUGCAGUUUUAAAAAAUACAGAUAAGAUUAAGAGAUAAAAGUAACAAGUAAUUAAAGAGGAGCAGUAAAAAAUAACAUUAUAUACAGGCGGUGUGGAGGCUAUAUACAGGGUAUUACGGUACAGAGUCAAUGUGGAGGCUAUAUACAGGGGGUACUGGUACAGAGUCAAUGUGGAGACUAUAUACAGGGUGUUACGGUACAGAGUCAAUGUGGAGGCUAUAUACAGGGUAUUACGGUACAGAGUCAAUGUGGAGGCUAUAUACAGGGGGUACCGGUACAGAGUCAAUGUGGAGGCUAUAUACAGGGUAUUACGGUACAGAGUCAAUGUGGAGGCUAUAUACACGGGGUACCGGUACAGAGUCAAUGUGGAGGCUAUAUACAGGGGGUACCGGUACAGAGUCAAUGUGGAGGCUAUAUACAGGGUAUUACGGUACAGAGUCAAUGUGGAGGCUAUAUACAGGGUGUUACGGUACAGAGUCAAUCUGGAGGCUAUAUACAGGGGGCACGGGUGCUGAGUCAAUGUGUGGGGGCGCCGGUUAGUUGAGGUAGUAUGUACAUGUAGGUAGAGUUAAUUAAAGUGACUAUGCAUAGAUGACAACAGAGAGUGGCAGUGGUGUGGAGAGGUGGGGGGUGAAUUGUCUGGGUAGUCCUUUGACUAGGUGUUCAGGAGUCUUAUGGCUUGGGGGUAGAAGCAGUUAAGAAGCCUCUUGGACCUCGACUUGGCACUCCGGUACCGCUUGCUGUGGGGUAGCAGAGAGAACAGUCUAUGGCUAGGGUGGCUGGAGUCUUUGACAAUUCUUUAGUCUUUCCUCUGACACCGCCUGGUAUAGAGGUCCUGGAUGGCAGGAAGCUUGGCCCCAGUGAUGUACUGGGCCGUACGCACUGCCCUCUGUGCCUUGCGGUCAGAGGCCGGGUAGUUGCCAUACCAGGCAGUGAUGCAACCAGGAUGCUCUCGAUGGUGCAGCUGUAGGACCUUUUGAGGAUCUGAGGACCCAUGCCAAAUAUUUUCAGUCUCCUGAUUUUGUCGUACCCCCUUCACGACUGUCUUGGUGUGCAUGGACCAUGUUACGAAAAUAAGUAUUUUAAGCUACGUAAGCUAGCUAGCUAAGGGUCGGUCAGCUGUUGUCUGACUUUCACCAAAGUCAUCUGUGUUAAAAAUAUAGCUUGCUUUCUUUGCCUGUUGUUAGCGAGCUAACGCUGAUCUGAGUGGUGUUGGCUAGCUAACGCUCAUCUGAGUGGUGUUAGCUAGCUAACGCUCAUCUGAGUGGUGUUAGCUAGCUAACGCUCAUCUGAGUGGUGUUAGCUAGCUAACGCUCA